CCUACGGGAGGCAGCAGUGGGGAAUAUUGGGCAAUGGGCGAAAGCCUGACCCAGCGAUGCCGCGUGAGGGAUGAAGGCCUUCGGGUCGUAAACCUCUGUCAGGAGGGACGAUGGGACUUUUGUCUUGACGGUACCUCCAGAGGAAGCCCCGGCUAACUCCGUGCCAGCAGCCGCGGUAAUACGGAGGGGGCAAGCGUUGCUCGGAAUUACUGGGCGUAAAGGGUCCGCAGGCUGUCAGGCAAGUUGGUUGUGAAAGCUCAAGGCUUAACCUUGGAAUUGCAUCCAAAACUGCCUGACUAGAGUCCAAGAGAGGUUGGCGGAAUUCCCGGUGUAAGCGGUGAAAUGCAUAGAUAUCGGGAGGAACACCAGAGGCGAAGGCGGCCAACUGGCUUGGUACUGACGCUCAGGGACGAAAGCGUGGGUAGCAAAACCGGAUUAGAUACCCGGGUAGUCCACGCCCUAAACNAUGGAUGCUAGGUAGGGGGAAUUUAUUUCUCCCUGCCGUAAGUNAACGCAUUUAANCAUACCGCCUGGGGAGUACGGUCNCAAGGCUGAAAACUCAAAGGAAUUGACGG
rnacentral:rRNA from 1 species